rnacentral:lncRNA from 1 species
CCUAUUGUCAGAAACUCAAACAGGAAGUACCCGUGCUAAGGUAUAUUCAAUGCUGGUCUGACAAUCGGAAUCCAUGCUUCAAGAUUGUUUUGAUAACACGGACUGGGAUAUGUUCCCGGGUUGCCUCUGAGAAUAACAUUGACGUAUAGAGACGGACACGGUGACUGAGUUCAUCAGGAAGUGUAUAAGGGAUGACAAAGUGGAGUCGCAAUUCAACGGCUCAGCCACGAGACGCAUGUGGCAGGGACUCCAGACAAUCACGGAUUAUGAAGGGAAUAGCAGCCAUGACACGGACACCGACGUCUUUCUCCCGGACAAGCUAAACACCUUUGCCCGCUUUGAGGAUAGCACAGUGCUACCGACACAGCCCACUCCCUAGGACUGUGGGCUCUUGGUCUCCGUGGCCGACGUAAGUAAGGCAUUUAAGCGCGUUAACCAUCGCAAGGCUGCCGGCCCAGACUGCAUUCCUAGCCGAGGCCUCAGAGCAUGUGCAGACCAGCUGGCUGGAGUGUUUACGGACAUAUUCAGUCUCUCCCUAUCCCAGUCUGCUGUCCCCACUUACUUCAAGAUGUCCACCAUUGUCCCUGUAACCAAGAUAGUCAUUUAGUUCAGUUACCUUUGCUAUCGCCCCAUAGCACUCACUUCUGUCAUCAUGAAGUGCCAUGGGAGGCUAGUUAAGGAUCAUGUCACCUCCACCUUAUGUGACACCCUAGAGACACUUCAAUUUGCAUACCGCCCCCAAUAGAUCCACAGACGAUGCAAUCGCCAUCACACUGCUCUAUUCCAUCUGGACAAGAGGAAUACCUAUGUAAGAAUACUGUUCAUCGACUAUAGCUUAGACUUUAACACCAUAGUACCCUCCAAGCGCAUCAUUAAACUCGGGCCCCUGGGUCUGAAACCCCCCCCCCCUGAUGGGCUGCCCCCAGGUGGUGAAGGUGGGAAACAACACCACUACACUGAUUCUCAAUACAGGGACCCCAGAAGGGUGCAUGCUCAGCCCCCUCCUGUACUCCCUGCUCACCAAUGACUGCGUGGCCAUGCACACUUCCAACUCAAUCAUCAAGUUUGCAGACGACACAACAGUAGUAGACCUGAUUAACAACAAUGACGAGACAGCCUACAGGGAGGAGGUGAGGGUCCUGGCGGAAUGGUGCCAGGAAAUAACCUCUCUCUCAAUGUCAACAAAAUGAAGGUGCUGAUCGUGGACUUCAGGAGACAGCAGAGGGAGCACACUCCUAUCGACGGGACCGCAGUGGAGAAGGUGAAAAGCUUCAAGUUCCUCGGAGUACACAUCACUGACAAUCUGUGUGGUGAAAACAGCACCUCUUCAACCUCAGGAGGCUGAAGAAAUUCAGCUUAGCCCCUAUUACACAAUUGAAAGCAUCAUGUCGGGCUGUAUCACCGCCUGGUAUGGCAACUUCACCGCCUGCAACCUCAGGGCUCUCCAGAGGGUGGUGUUUCUUCCCAGCGCAUUUUAGUCAAUGCCACUCCAACAUUGCUCAUCCUAACAUAUUUCUUAAUUCCAUUCUUUUACUUUUAGAUUUGUGUGUAUUGUUGUGAAUUGUUAGAUACUACUGCACUGUUGGAGCUAGAAACACAAGCAUUUUGCUACACCGAUAAAUAUGUGAUUGUGACCAAUACUAUUUUAUUUUAAAGUGGCCUGUUAUUUUCUCCAGCACAAAGUGUACCUGUGUGAUGAUCAUGCUGUUUAGUCAGGUUCUUGAUAUGCCACACCAGAUUAUCUUGGCAAAGGAGAAACACUCACUAACAGGGAUGUAAACAAAUUUGUGCACAAAAUUUGAUAGAAAUAAGCUUUUUGUGCGUAUGGAACAUUUCUGUGAUUUUAAUUUUAUUUCAGUUGAUGAAACACGGGACCAACAUUUUUUACAUGUUGCGUUUAUAUUUUUGUAAAGUUUUUUUCUGCAGUGUCAAGUGGAAACAUAAGCAACCCUGUUAUACUAGCUAGUAGUAGCUAGUGGAAGUAAGUUAGUCCCAAAGCUACCAGCUACAGUCAGAUUUCUCCAUUAAUUGAUGUAGCUAGCUUAACUAGAUAUUCUAGCUGGCAGAUGGUGCUUAUUGACUGAGUAAUAAUUAACUGCAAUUACUGUAAAUGUUUAGCUGUCUGGCACUUUGCAUAGCUAACUUAGCUAUUGCUUACACAUCUAACACAACAAUAUCAAUUUAAGCUACAGUCAUUGCUUGUGUGUGUGAGUUCUGAAUGUUCCCGCAGGAGAAGGGCACAGUGUUGCAUUUGAGCAGGUCAUCAUGAACUUCGUGUAGGUGCAUCAGCCAAUACAAACCAUUCACACAGUUCAGGCACUCAGCCCUAUCCAGUGGACAUGAUGCUCUCAAAGACCUGCUCUACCGCUUCCUACAACACCCUGAUGAGAAGCAAUAAGACUGGCCUCAUGACUGUCUGCAUAUCUCUCUAACCUUGCUGUACCCUACUGUGCUGAGACAAUAUGACUGUAGAACACUUUUACACUAUUUUAAAUGUAUUGCUCAACAGUCAUUAUUGAUCUCUCUCUACCUCUCUCUACCAUACUCACAGUUCACUCACUGAUGGUGUGUAGGCUGGGUGAUGGCACCUGCAGGCCUGUUUGAGGGACAACUGGACAGAACAUCUCAGAAUGCUUGGACCUCAGCUGAGACCGUUCUUUCUGUUCCCGUCCUUCAAAGGAAAGCCCCUUCUUUACACUUGCGGUUAGGCAUGAUGCUCUCAAAGUGUCUCUCUCAUGUUGUGUGUUAUUAUCUAUAGAUGUCUCCAAGACACUUUCAAAUAGUUUGCCUGUGAAUGGUUGUCCACUGUCAGGCUAUUUACUUGUAACCUUUUUAAAAUACUGCUCCCCUCUCACAGAACUGCCCUGUGCUCUCUCUCUCUCUCUCUCCAGGAUACAUGAGGUUGAAGUUGCUUUGUUGAUGGCACCCCUUCAUCCUAAGUUCUGCUCACUCUUGUUCAACUACUCUUUGAUUAAAUCAGUUUAAUUCAGUGUUUAAAAUGUGCUUCAAGUGUGUUUUUUACUGAAAGUUGACAAGGCACUUUAUGA